GUGCUCACUUCAGCAGCAUAUAUACUAAAAAUUGGAAUGAUACAAAGAUUAACAUGGCCCAUGCACAAAGAUAAAAUGCAAAUUUGUGAAGUGUUCCAUUAAAAA